ensembl:misc_RNA Y_RNA Y RNA
GGCUGGUCCCAGUGCAGUAGUGUUUACAACUAAUUGAUACAAGAAGUUACAAAUUUCUUUGUUGCUUCUUCAUUCCCACUGCUUCACUUGGCUAGCCUUAA